rnacentral:rRNA from 1 species
GACGAACGCUGGCGGCGUGCUUAACACAUGCAAGUCGAACGGGCCCGCUCUCUUUUUUGGGGGUGGGUUGAGUGGCGAACGGGUGAGUAUCACGUGAGUAACCUGCCCCCUGCUCCUGGAUAACUGCUUGAAAGGGCGGCUAAUACGGGGUGUGCCGGCUGGUCCGCAUGGGCCUGGUCGGGAUAGUUUCAUCUUCGGGUGUUUCGGUGGGGGAUGGGCUCGCGGCCUAUCAGCUUGUUGGUGGGGUGAUUGCCCACCAGGGCGGUGGCGGGUAGCCGGCCUGAGGGGGUGGGCGGCCAGACUGGGACUGAGACACGGCCCAGACGAGGGCGGGAGGCAGCAGUGGGGGGUAUUGCACAAUGGGCGGAAGCCUGAUGCAGCGACGUCGCGUGAGGGAUGGAGGCCGUCGGGUUGUGAACCUCUUUCUCCGGUGGUGAAGGCCCUGUCCGUUGCGGCGGGGUUGACGGUAGCCGGGUAUGAAGCGCCGGCUAACUACGUG